UACCUACGGGGGGCAGCAGUGGGGAAUAUUGGGCAAUGGAGGCAACUCUUACCCAGCAAUGCCGCGUGAAUGAAGAAGGUCUUCGGAUUGUAAAGUUCUUUAAUUGGGGACGAAAAAAAUGACGGUACCUGACUAAGAAGCCCCGGCUAACUACGUGCCAGCAGCCGCGGUAAUACGUAGGGGGCAAGCGUUAUCCGGAUUUACUGGGUGUAAAGGGAGCGUAGACGGCGAUGCAAGUCUGAAGUGAAAGGCGGGGGCCCAACCCCCGGACUGCUUUGGAAACUGUAUGGCUGGAGGGCAGGAGG
rnacentral:rRNA from 1 species